rnacentral:rRNA from 1 species
CCUACGGGUGGCAGCAGUGGGGAAUAUUGCACAAUGGGCGAAAGCCUGAUGCAGCAACGCCGCGUGAGCGAUGAAGGCCUUCGGGUCGUAAAGCUCUGUCCUCAAGGAAGAUAAUGACGGUACUUGAGGAGGAAGCCCCGGCUAACUACGUGCCAGCAGCCGCGGUAAUACGUAGGGGGCUAGCGUUAUCCGGAAUUACUGGGCGUAAAGGGUGCGUAGGUGGUUUCUUAAGUCAGAGGUGAAAGGCUACGGCUCAACCGUAGUAAGCCUUUGAAACUGGGGAACUUGAGUGCAGGAGAGGAGAGUGGAAUUCCUAGUGUAGCGGUGAAAUGCGUAGAUAUUAGGAGGAACACCAGUGGCGAAGGCGGCCUGUUGGAUGACAACUGACGGUGAGGCGCGAAAGCGUGGGGAGCAAACAGGAUUAGAUACCCGAGUAGUC